rnacentral:rRNA from 1 species
ACCUACGGGGGGCAGCAGUGGGGAAUAUUGGGCAAUGGGCGCAAGCCUGACCCAGCAACGCCGCGUGAAGGAAGAAGGCUUUCGGGUUGUAAGCUUCUUUUAUGAGGGACGAAACAAGUGACGGUACCUCAUGAAUAAGCCACGGCUAACUACGUGCCAGCAGCCGCGGUAAUACGUAGGUGGCAAGCGUUAUCCGGAUUUACUGGGUGUAAAGGGCGUGUAGGCGGGACUGCAAGUCAGAUGUGAAAAUUAUUGGCUCAACCCAUAACCUGCCUUUGAAACUGUAGUUCUUGA